UCCUCCUUACGAAGGCAGUCUGUUUAGAGUGCUCAGCCGAACUGUUAGCAACUAAACACGAGGGUUGCGCUCGUUGCGGGACUUAACCCAACAUCUCACGACACGAGCUGACGACAGCCGUGCAGCACCUGUCUCUAAGUUCUAGCAAGCUAGCACUCCCAUAUCUCUACAGGAUUCUUAGGAUAUCAAGCCCAGGUAAGGUUCUUCGUGUAUCUUCGAAUUAAACCACAUGCUCCACCGCUUGUGCGGGUCCCCGUCUAUUCCUUUGAGUUUUAAUCUUGCGACCGUACUCCCCAGGCGGUAUACUUAAUCUGUUAAGUGCAUUACUGCAAUGUCAAGCAUUGCAACAACUAGUAUACAUCGUUUAGGGCGUGGACUAC
rnacentral:misc_RNA from 1 species